CCAACCAAACUCGAUGGCUCGACAAUUUGGCUUCAACGAAAUGCUACCUAAAUCUUUGUACUCGUGGCCUACUAACAUCCGCUGGUCGGGACGUAAAUUUACAACCCCAGCAUACAUUGACUACCUCAAGUUUUAGAAUAACCAACACCUUGAACUUCCUACGUUCAAAUUCCAACAUUCUUUUCCCACUACCGAAGAAAUUGAUACAUGGUUGUCAAAAUAUUAUGAGAAUUCACUUUCAGUGCCAACAUUUCUUCAAAGGUUCGCAACUGCAUUUACUUUCCUGGAGAAUAACUCGAAGCUCAAAACAGGUAUGCCUUACUAACCAAUUUAUUUUCUGCCUUCACAAUUUUUUCUUACUCCAUCCUUUGCAGACCAAGAAACUAAAACUCAAGGAGACAAGGUCGAUGGUGCGUCAACACUUAUCGAUGCCGAAGGCAAUAAACCCAAAAGGUCAAAAACAUGCUCGAGGCUCAUCUACUGCCAUUAACCAAUCCAAGAAGAAGAAAACUACUGAUGCCCCAAAAGCACAUGUAUGUAUUAUAUUUUCCUUAUCUUUUAAGUUUCGAUGGUUAUUGGUAUUAAUCUAUCUCCAAUUUGCUUAGUUUUUACCAAAAUUGCAUGAGAAACUAGUUGAAGAAGACUCUUAUGAAAGUGAGCACACUCACAUCUUUUCUAAUCCUGAAGUCCCAACACCCACCAAACAAAAGGGUGGCAAAAGCAAGAAAACUGUCCCCUAGAAAAAAGUUCCCUCUCAGGGUACUACAUCUUCAAUUCUGGAGCCAGUUGAGGAAGCAAACCAAAAUCUGGCUACCCCCACCAAGGAAAUAAACUCUAAACAAACAAUUUAUGGGGACAAAGAAACUCCACAUAAAACCACUAAGGCACAACCAACAAAAAAAAUUGGAGGAACAACUUGGCGACCUUCAAGUAAAUACCGAAAACAUAAGUGAUUUGAGCCCCAAAAAAUUUGAUGAUUUUGACACUGAUACCGGCUUGACUCAUGACAAUCUUCAAACAACGCAUGAAGAAGUUGACACAUGGCCAAAGAAAUUUGUGAUCAAGGACAUCUCACCUGAAGGUCAAACCAAACAACCAACUCCUGUCGAAGAGCAGCCUUUUCCCCUAUUGUUUAGGUGAUGUAACUCUGUCAUAUAAGUUUUGAGAUUUUUUACCUAGAAUUUUGACUAAUUUGGAAUAGUUUUGGUCAAAUUAAAGCAGAAGUCAAGACGGUUGUGUAAAUUUCAUUGUACCACCUAGUUACUCUUACCAGACAUCUUAACAAUGUUUAUCUAUUGAGGAUGUUAUGGUGGUGUAGCGUAAAUCUAAAAAGAUACACAAAAGCAUGGAUAGUUUAACAGAAUUCUGACACAAUAGGUACAGGUUACAAAAUGGCGCAAUUAUGUGUAGAUAUCCUUGCGACCAGUUGAGAUAUUGACGCGAAGACGACUUAAACCAUGUGUAUCCAAGAUGAUUAAUGAUUAGAUUGUGCCACAAUUUGGUGUGUUAAAAAAUUACUCCAUGAAAGCAAAACUUUUUUUUUUUGCAAUGAUUCAAAAUUUUGUGGUAGAGAUUACGACUGCAAGGAUUCAAGAGACAUAAAUUAAGGCUUCUUCUACACCGAUGAAGCUAUUACUUCCCCGUUGAUUUAUGUAUAAUUUUUCGAACUCAUUAAUUAUGAUUAUACAAAAUAUG